rnacentral:lncRNA from 10 species
GGCUGACUCUCUUUUCGGACUCAGCCCGCCUGCACCCAGGUGAAAUAAACAGCCUUGUUGCUCACACAAAGCCUGUUUGGUGGUCUCUUCACACAAACGCGCAUGAAAUUUGGUGCCAUGACUCGGAUCGGGGUACCUCCCUUGGGAGAUCAAUCCCCAGUCCUCCUGCUCUUUGCUCCGUGAGAAAGAUCUACCUAGGACCUCAGGUCCUCAGACUGACCAGCCCAAGGAACAUCUCACCAAUUUCAAAUCUGGAACGCGCAUGAAAAAACCAAACAAACAAAAAAAUUUCUUUUGGUAGCAGAAUAAAAAAACAAAAAAAAGGACUUUUUCUUCUGGACUGAACUAUAUUUAAAUCUCAAAGGAUGGACAUCUCACAACCUUCCUACAGCAAGUACUGUGAGAGCUGCAUCUUGUCCCACUGGAUGGUCUUCAGAGACAAUAAUACAUAAUGGAGCUGUCAUCUCCUAUGAUAACAAUGCCUUCUUCUGGAUACCUCCUGAAGGACCUGCCUGAGGCUCUUUCACUCCAUGUAAAGGUGUGCUGCUUUCCCUUUGCCUUCCGCCAUUAUUGAAAGUUUCCUGAGGCCUCCCCAGCCAUGCUACCUGUACGACCUGUGAAACCAUAAGCCAAAAAAGAUACUAGCGCCAGUCUGGCAGGGGCCUUUUCUAGUCUCAAGCACGCUGAGCAGUCCUACACCUUGCCUUCUGAGAGAGAAGAGGACAGUCCUCAGCCUCCUGAAGCCUGGCAAGGGUGCCUUAGUGAGGACAUCACCUGCAACUCCCAGAUGGAUAGACGAGGCCAUGGAGAGAGGAGAACACCAACCCAUGAGUGACAAGUGCCUGUCAUUGUCAAUGAUGCUGCAAGCACCACGAUGCCCCUUCUUAGCAGGGACCCAGUGGGCCUUACCAGCUUCAUUAUUUUCUAGGCAUGAUCGCAUCCUGUCUCCCAUUUUUGCUAAAAUUCUAUCUAGAGAAAGAGCUCAUUUUUAGCUAAAAAAAAAAAAAUCCUGUUUUAUCUGCUAAAAAAUCACAUAAAAUAACUAUUGGACUGU